AGCGCUGCAAAAUUAUCCUAGGUGAAACCUGCCCCCUGACUAGAUUUUAACGGCCGCCCGAUUUUGACCGUGCUAAGGUAGCGUUGUCAGUUGACUUUUCCGAUGGUCUUGUAUGAAUGGAUUUAUGGGAUUAAGAGCUCUCUUAAGUAUUCUAUUGCCAUUACUAAUUAGGUGAAAAGGCCUAUAAAUGAUUAACGACCUCUAGACCCUUAGAGUUUUAAUAUGUAGGUAAUUGUUGCUCCGACAAGUGGACUAUAAUAACUCUUCUAUUAGAAAAAUACUUGCCGGUUUUUUUAACGAUGCCUAAACUAGGUUAGGGAUUGCAGCAUAAUCCAGACGGGGCCCGUGACCAGCUUGUUGGACUGCGAGAAUUAUGCCCUAGCGUCGUCAUUGCUUGGGUUGUGUUCGAACAAGGAUUCCU
rnacentral:rRNA from 1 species